GAUAUUAUGCACAUCAGCUCUUAAUCUCUACUACCAGAAAUCAACCGAAGAAAUAAGUUAGCAUGGAUUAAAUAUGGAUGAAACUCAAUCUUAUUCAAAUCUAAAAUGCUACUUUACCUUAAGAAGAAAACAUUCGACCAAUGUGUACUACCAGUCGUGACAUAUGCAUGCGAAACGUGACUCUUAACGAACAUUAUAAGGAAACUGCGGGUCGCACAACGCUGAAUGGAUCGAAAUAUGCUGGGAAUAACCAAGAAAGACCGUAAAAGAAUAGAGUGGAUACGAGAAAAGACCCAGGUAAUACGCGACAUUAGUGCUGACGUCACCUGUUGAGGAAGGUCAGGGUGCUGUAUCUAAACAAAUAUUUCGCCGAUUUGAUUAACAAAGAGAUAAUUUAAAACUCGUCUUUUUUUGUAAUUCUUCGCAUUUAAGUGGAUAUUUUGAUUGAAAGGUAUGCACUCUGGUAAUAUUUAGAACAUACUAUCGAUGGCUUAGGAAAAAAAGCAAUUAAAAUCUCGAAAUGUAAUAAAAUCAAUAUUAUACAUAACCCAACUUUUUUUCCCAGCUUUUAUUUAUGUUUUUUUUGUAAUCUAUACACAAGUUUUAGACCAAAUAGCAUUUAUUUUGUUUUGUACAAUGGUACAGUGUUGGGCACCAGGAUGUAACCAUUACAAUGUUAAAGAAAAGUGUAAAUUUUAUAGAUUUCCGAAGGAUACCAAAACUAGAAAUAGUUGGAUAAAACUUACAAGGAGAACCAUAGAACCCGGCCCCGGAGCAUUUUUAUGUAGUUGUCACUUUGUAGAGGGAAAAAAAGAAAAUGGACCUUCAAUAUUUUUGCAUAAUGAAGGAAAACGAUUAAAAUUUUCGUCACCAGAAAGGAAGAAGAGAAUAAAAUAAAAUACUCUUCAAAAAUCAGUCGAUACUGCCAUGCAAGAUUUAAUCAAAAACCGACUUCUGAAACAUGUGUGGAAACGAGAUUAGAUAAUGAACCACAACCAUCAACAUCAAAGGAUCCUGUGAUAAGAUUAGAUGAGCCGCAGCCAUCAACAUCAAAGGAUACUGGAAACACAACAUGCCCAAACUGUCAUGUAAUGGUCGAAGCAGAAAACUAGUUUUUACAGCAAAAUUUUGAGCAAGCAACUGAGAUCUUGCCCAUCUUUUGGAAAAGUUUUCAUUUAACAAUAUUAGAAAUAAUAACAAGUUAAUUCUUCUGUAUACUGGCUUGCCUACAGAAGAAAUAUUCAUGUCUUUAUACAACUUGUUAAAAGACAUUGAAAUAAAUUACUACUAUGUGGCGGGAAGAAAAAAUGGAAAAAAUAGAUCAAUUGUUAUUGACGUUAAUGAAACUAAAGCAGAACUUUCCACAUGAUGACUUAGCAGUCAGAUUUAAUGUUUCACAAGGUACUGUAUCAAAUAUUGUUACAACAUGGGUUCAUGUCUUGCAUGAAAUUUUAUAUAAGCAGCUAAUGGCUGAAGUACCUCCAAGAAAUAAAAACUAACUUUGUCUGCCUAACUGUUUUAGUAGUUUUACAAACUGCAGAAUUAUAAUAGAUUGUACUGAAGUGUACACAUCUACAUCUCGUUCAAGUAUGUCCACUCAAAAACUUACAUAUAGUUCAUACAAGCAUAGAAAUAUAUUUAAAGGAUUGGUGGGUGUGGCACCCAAUGGAGUAGUAACAUUCAUGUCUUCUUUAUACCCUGGUUCAACAUCAGACAAGAAAAUUGUAAAAAGCUGUGGAAUUCUUAAUCAUCUGAAAAGUGGAGACUUGGUUUUGGCUGAUAAAGGGUUUUUAAUUAAAGAUCUAAUGCCUCCUGGAGUUCAUGUUAAUAUUCCUACGUUUCUUACAACACCUCAGUUUACUGUAGAGCAAGUAAAGCAGACCGAAACCAUUGCUCGAGCUAGAAUUCAUGUUGAACGUGCUAUAAAGAGAAUGAAAAUUUUUAAUAUAUUAAGCUUUAUUCCAUACUCAUUGUUGCCACAUGCAGAUGCUGUCUGGCAAGUGAUAGGAGCUUUAACAAAUUUACAAUACCCCUUAAUAAAACAAGUUGAACAAUUUUACUCGGAAGGUACCUCAA